GUGUGUCUCAGACACCUGGACUGUGCACUGAGGCCUGGUGUGGCUGUUGCAGUCUUUGAGGACUGGAGUAAAGCCCCCCGCUUCCAAGUGAGCCUGGAAGAAAGACCCUGAAACCCCCCAGGCAUCAAGGGUCCCACAGUGGAAGCCUAGCAGAAUGACAAACCGGGAAGGAAAGGGCUCGCAAAGGAGUGCUUCCUGUGUCUUUAUUGGAUGGUUUCACUGCAGAGCCUCAGUAAGCCAUGCUGGACAGAGCGCUGGAUGUAGUUUGGGGUGGAUGAAGAACUGGGAGUGGACCUGGAG
rnacentral:lncRNA from 1 species